UCCCCAGCUGUUCUUGGAUUACGAUUCUCAUCAUCCCUGACCUGCUAGCUAGGGAUGAUGGGAGCUGUAGUCCAAAAACAGCUGGAGA